GUUCUUUGUGUCGUGAAGCUUCUAGCACACUCACCUCCUUGGUGAAGAGAGCUUCCAGCUCUUGCUCAGCUAGGACACCAUUGCUGUUGAUGUCUGCAGAUGAGAUAAGA